AUGGAGACAGUGUCUGUCCCCCGACCCAAAUCUCACAAUGAUUUUAGCAUAAAAUCAAAUAAAAGAGCUAUCAAUUAUAAAAAUCUGAAAAAAAUUAAAAUCUCAAAUCUAGAAACACCAAAACAUAAAACCAUUAGAUGUGCUCUAUUAAAUAUUAGAUCACUGAGACCCAAAUCUCUACUAGUAAAUAACCUUAUCUCAGAAAAUAACUUUGAUUUAUUCUGUUUAACUGAAACAUGGCUGUAUCAAGAUGAAUAUGUUAGUUUAAAUGAAGCCACUCCUCCCAGUCAUUUAAAUACUCAUAUGCCACGAGACAUAGGCCAUGGAGGUGGUGUAGCAGCUAUUUAUCAUUCCUCUCUCCUAAUCUAUCCUAAACCAAAGGCCAGUUACACUUCCUUUGAAAGCCUGGUUCUAAAUUUAUCUCAUACCGAAUCAAAAACCUGCCAGCCAGUCUUAUUUGCGAUAAUUUACCAUCCUCCAGGCCCUUAUUCUGAAUUUCUAUCAGAAUUCUCUGAGUUUAUAUCAAACUUAGUCCUAAGUUCUGAUAAAAUACUGAUAGUAGGAGAUUUUAAUAUCCAUGUUGACAAAGAUAGUGAUAGCCUGAGCUCAGCCUUUAUGUCCCUAAUAGACUCAGUUGGCUUCUUUCAAACUAUUAAUGAAGCUACUCAUUGUUUAAAUCAUACUCUUGAUCUUGUUCUAACAAAUGGCCUUGAUAUUAAUGAACUAAAAGUCUACCCUGAAAAUCCUCUUCUAUCAGAUCACUUUUUAAUAUCUUUUAACAUUAUCCUAGAGGAUUUCGCACUGCGCAAUAAAAUAGUUACGAGUAGAAAUCUGUCCAAUAGUGCUGUGGCUAAAUUUAAAGAGGCCAUUCCUGCUGCCUUAAACUCAGUGCACCAUCCAAUAAAUAACUAUGAUAUUAAUUAUAACCCCUCUCAACUGGAUCUGCUUGUCGAUAGCUCUGCUAGUCUACUAAAAUCCACCUUGGACUCAAUUGCCCCAUUGAGGGAAAAAACUAUUAAACGUCAGAGGAAAGCUCCGUGGUUUAGCUCUGAAACUCGCACUCUCAAACAAACAACCCGUAAAUUAGAGAGAAUGUGGCGCUCCAAUAAAACAGAGGAGUCAUGA
rnacentral:lncRNA from 1 species